rnacentral:rRNA from 1 species
AACCUUUACACUGCACGACAGUGCGAUAAGGGAAUCCCAAGUGCGUAGGCAUAGAGCCUACGCUUUUGUCCACCGUAGGGAGGUGGACGAAUAAGGGCUGGGCAAGACCGGUGCCAGCCGCCGCGGUAAUACCGGCAGCCCGAGUGAUGGCCGAUCUUAUUGGGCCUAAAGCGUCCGUAGCUGGCCGCGCAAGUCUAUCGGAAAAUCCACCCGCUCAACGGGUGGGCGUCCGGUAGAAACUGCGUGGCUUGGGACCGGAAGGCGCGACGGGUACGUCCGGGGUAGGAGUGAAAUCCCGUAAUCCUGGACGGACCGCCGAUGGCGAAAGCACGUCGCGAAGACGGAUCCGACAGUGAGGGACGAAAGCUAGGGUCUCGAACCGGAUUAGAUACCCGGGUAGUCCUAGCCGUAAACAAUGCCUGCUAGAUGUGGCUCCCACUACGAGUGGGUGCUGUGCCGUAGGGAAGCCGCUAAGCAGGCCGCCUGGGAAGUACGUCCGCAAGGAUGAAACUUAA